rnacentral:lncRNA from 1 species
AUCUAUUUAUUAAACAAAUACAUAAUGUACAAUAAUUAACAUAUUCAUGUGAAGUCAAUUGUUAUCUCAGUACUAUCUAUUUGAACAUCUUCAGUAUAUAAAAAUAUACUUUAUAUGGAUUUAAAGGGGCACUAUAGCUACGAGAUAUAUAAAAAAUCUAAAGUAUGAUUUUUUUUUUGUUCAAUCAUUAAUGAAAGUGAAAUAAUGAAAUAAUAAUUCACUUUUAGCAGCUAAAAUGGUUCCAUUUUGUCAAAUUAAGCUAAUAAAUUAUUCACUUGCAAGUGAAUAACUCGACCUCAUUAAACCUGUAUUCAGGUGAACUCCAAUUUAAC